UGGUGGAGCGAUUUGUCUGGUUAAUUCCGAUAACGAACGAGACUCUAGCCUGCUAAAUAGACGGGCGAUCCCGCUGUGGGUCGACCCGAUUUGCUUCUUAGAGGGACAAGUGGCAUUCCUAGCCACGCGAAAUUGAGCAAUAACA
rnacentral:rRNA from 1 species